GCUGGCGGUAUGCUUACACAUGCAAGUCGAACGAGGUUUAUUUAUCAGUUAACUCUCGGGUUAACCAAAUAGACUGCAGUGGCGGACGGGUGAGUAACGCGUAAGAACUUACCUUUUGGUGGGGGAUAACAGUGGGAAACUGCUGCUAAUACCCCAUAAUGCUGAGGAGCUAAAGGUGAAAACCACCAAGAGAGAGGCUUGCGUCUGAUUAGCUAGUUGGAGAAGGUAAUGGCUUCCCAAGGCUACGAUCAGUAGCUGGUCUGAGAGGAUGAUCAGCCACACUGGGACUGAGACACGGCCCAGACUCCUACGGGAGGCAGCAGUGAGGAAUUUUCCGCAAUGGGCGAAAGCCUGACGGAGCAAUACCGCGUGAAGGAAGAAGGCCCGUGGGCUGUAAACUUCUUUUCUCAGAGAAGAAGAUCUGACGGUAUCUGAGGAAUAAGCACCGGCUAACUCCGUGCCAGCAGCCGCGGUAAUACGGGGGGUGCAAGUGUUGUCCGGAAUGAUUGGGCGUAAAGCAUCUGUAGGUUGUUCUUAAAGUCUACUGUCAAAUCCCAGAGCUCAACUUUGGACAGGCAGUAGAGGACUCAAGAGCUUGAGUACGGUAGGGGUAGAGGGAAUUCCUAGUGGAGCGGUGAAAUGCACAGAGAUUAGGAAGAACACCAGUGGCGAAGGCGCUCUACUGGGCCGUGACUGACACUGAGAGAUGACAGCUGGGGGAGUGAAUAGGAUUAGAUACCCUAGUAAUCCCAGCCGUAAACGAUGGAUACUAAGUGCUGUCGAAAACAGUGCUGUAGCUAACGCGUUAAGUAUCCCGCCUGGGGAGUAUGCUC
rnacentral:rRNA from 1 species